UUCAAGUGUCUUUUUCACUAGUUCAUCAACAAGAUUCAAAGUUUGAUCAAGACUGUAUGGAUUUUGAACAUUAAAACAACAAAAGAAUCAAUCUUUGUUUCUGGGUAACAACCAAGUUUCAGUCUUUUUCAUUUAUAAUCAAGAAUAUUGGGCUUUUGCGUAUAGGAACAUGAAAAAUCUGAUGCUAUUCAAGUGUUUGGUCACUAAUUUAUCAAAAAGGUUGAAUCUUUGAUUCUGGGUGAUAAUCAAGUUGCAAUUUUUUUUACUUUUCAUCAAGGAUCAAGGGCUUUUUGGUCAUUUGAACUUGAAUUUUUAUGAUUUUCAAGUGUUUUCUCUAGUUUUCAUUAGAAAGAUUGAAUCUUUGAUUCUGGGUGUUAAUCAAGUUGCAGUCUUUUUGUAUUACCAUUAAGGUUUUUAGAGCUUUUUAUCCAUUGGAAUAUGGAGAUUUGAUGUUUUUCAAGGUUGUUGCUCAUUAGUACAUCAAAAAAACUGAUAUAUUUGAUUCUGGGUAUUGACCAUUAUGGAAAAACAGAUUAGUUUUAGGUUAGGAAAGAUGGAAAAACAGCAGAGUUUUCGGGCUUCUGCGAUGGAAAAACAAAAGAGUUUUAGGAUAGCAAUGGGAAGACAGAUGAGUUUUAAGAAACCAAAAGAAUCACCUGGAAAAAGAGGGGAUUCUAUGCUUCAUUUGGCUUGUAGGGGUGGGAAUUUAGGAAAAGUCAUUGAAAUCUUGCAAAAUCUUGGUCUCGAUGCACUAUCAAAACAAAAUCAAGAAGGGGAGACACCUCUUUAUGUUGCUGCUGAGUGUGGACAUUCUAAUAUUGUAGCUCAGUUUUUAAAACAUCUUGAUCUGCAAACUGCUUCAAUUGCUGCAAAUAAUGGCUAUGAUCCCUUUCAUAUUGCUGCAAAACAGGGUCAUUUUGAGGUUUUAAAGGAACUAUUGAGCUCUUUCCCGAAUCUGGUAAUGACUACAGAUUCAGCCAAUUCAACUGCUUUACAUACAGCAGCUUCUCAAGGACAUUUUGAUGUGGUUAACCUGCUUCUUGAUGCUGACUCAAAUCUUGCCAAGAUAGCUAGAAACAACGGUAAAACCGUGCUUCAUACUGCAGCGAGAAUGGGUCAUUUGGAAGUGGCAAAAGCUGUGUUAAACAGGGAUCCGAGUAUCAGUUUCAGGAUUGAUAAGAAAGGCCAAACUGCUUUGCACAUGGCAGUUAAGGGUCAAAAUAUGGACAUGGUGAUUGAGUUAAUCAAACCUGAUCCAACUGUUUUGAGUUUGGAAGAUAACAAGGGGAAUACAGCUCUUCAUAUUGCAACGAAGAAGAGCCGUACUAAGAUUGUGAAAUGCCUGCUGUCAUUUGAGAACAUCAACGUCAAUGCAGUUAACAAAGCGGGGGAGACGCCUCUUGACAUUGCAGAAAACUUGAAAAUUACGGAAAUGGUCAAUAUUCUAAGGGAGGCAGGAGCUAGCCACUCUAACGACUUUGGAAAACCACCAAGUGCCGCCAAACAGCUCAAGCAAACAGUGAGUGACAUAAAACAUGAUGUUCACUCCCAAAUUAGACAAACUCGUCAAACUGGAUUUAGGGUUCGCAAGAUUGCAAAGAAGGUGAAAAAGCUCCACAUAAACGGGCUUAAUAAUGCCAUCAAUUCAGCCACUGUAGUAGCUGUGCUUAUAGCCACAGUUGCUUUUGCAGCCAUUUUUACUGUACCAGGCCAAUAUGUUGAGGUGGAAAAAGAUGGGUUUUCUCUCGGCCAGGCAAAUAUAGCAAAGAACGCUGCAUUUAUUAUGUUCUUUCUGUUUGACAGCUUAGCCCUGUUCAUUUCCUUGGCGGUUGUGGUGGUUCAGACAUCUAUUGUGGUGAUUGAAGAGAAGGCUAAGAGGAAACUAAUGUUUGUGAUUAACAAGCUCAUGUGGUUGGCAUGCCUAUUUAUAUCUAUUUCAUUUAUUUCACUUACUUAUGUGGUUGUGGGGGCCCACGAGAGGUGGCUUGCCAUUUAUGCCUCUGUGGUUGGUGCCACAAUUAUGCUUACUACAAUUGGGUCGAUGUGUUAUUGUGUUGUAAGGCAUAGGAUGGAGGAGACUAAGAUGAGGAGUAUAAGACGGGCCGAGACUAAUUCACAUUCUUUUUCAAUGUCUGUGGCAUCAGAUCCUGAGAUUUAUAAUGAGAAAUACAAGAGAAUGUAUGCUGUUUAGAAUUCUGUGAGGGAAAUUUUGGAAUUUGGGUAGUAGUCAAGAUGUCCAUAUCUGGACUGAGACCGUCUCAACUGACUCACCUGGGACAAGAAGGUCACGAGGCUAGUUAACAACUAUCGUUGUCCUUCCUAUGCAAUGAUGAAAUUAUAGGUGUCAGAAUGGCCGGGAUGUGUGAUGGGUCAAAACAGGUUCGUGUCACAGUGUGCCAUUUAUUCUAUGAUCUAAAAUGGUUCAGGUGUUGUUUGAGCCCCAAACAUUUUCUCUAGACAAUUUUCUUGUAACUAAUUAGUCUGUAAAAUAUUGCCACAACUUUCUGUUAUUUUCAUUCUAAUGUAGUUUUUCAAAGAUGAUUUUGGAGGUUUUAUGCACUAAAUACACUGGUUGAAUUUUGACCCGUUUGUAUUA